AAACCGAGGCUAAAACCGCAUGAGACCACGGCCUGGCAUCAGGCUGUGAUCAAAAAGUAGGGACCGCAAGGCCUGCUGUUUGAAGAUGAGCUCGCGUCCUAUCAGUUAGUUGGCGGGGUAACGGCCCACCAAGACUUUUGACGGGUAGCUGGUCUGAGAGGAUGGUCAGCCACAUUGGGACUGAGACACUGCCCAGACUCCUACGGGAGGCUGCAGUCGAGGAUCUUUUGCAAUGCCCGAAAGGGUGACAAUGCGACGCCGCGUGUGUGAUGAAGGUCUUCGGAUCGUAAAACACUGUCGGCCGGGAGGAAUCUCUGGAGCCAUAACAUGGCUAUCAGGGUGACAGUACCGGCAAAGGAAGCCACGGCUAACUCCGUGCCAGCAGCCGCGGUAAUACGGAGGUGGCAGGCGUUACUCGGAUUGAUUGGGUGUAAAGGGCGUGUAGGCGGUGCGUUAAGUCGAGUGUGGAAUCCCAUGGCUCAACCAUGGAACUGCAUUCGAAACUGACGUGCUUGAGUGUUGGAGAGGAAAGCGGAAUUCCCGGUGUAACAGUGAAAUGUGUAGAUAUCGGGAGGAACACCAGUGGCGAAGGCGGCUUUCUGGACAACUACUGACGCUGAAACGCGAGAGCUAGGGGAGCAAACAGGAUUAGAUACCCUGGUAGUCCUAGCCGUAAACGAUGUGCACUAGGUGUCGGGCCCUCUGGGCUCGGUGCCGCAGU
rnacentral:rRNA from 1 species